rnacentral:rRNA from 1 species
AUUGAACGCUGUCGGCAUGCCUAACACAUGAAAGUCGAGCGUGCGGCGGACGGGUGAGUAAUUUCUGGGUACCUGCCAGAUGGAGGGGGCUAAACACUGGAAACGGUCGCAAAUACCGCAUCCCCUCAGACAUGCCCCGAUUGGAUUUGCUCGUAGGUGGGGUAACGGCUCACCUAGGCGACGAACCAUAGGUGGUCUGAGAGGAUGCCCAGCCACACUGGAACUGAGACACUGUCCAGACUCUUACGGGAGUCAGCAGUGGGGAAUAUUGCGCUAUGGGCGCAAGCCUGAUGCAGCCAUCCCGGGUGUGUGAAGAACGCCUUCGGGUUGUAAAGCACUUUCAGCUGGGAGGCGUUACCCGCAGAAGAAGCACCGGCUAACUCCGUGCCAGCAGCCGCGGUAAUAC